UUUCCGUAGGUGAACCUGCGGAAGGAUCAUUAUUGUAAAACCGGGGAGCGAGGGCUGUCGCUGACCCAACAGGUGGUGCACGCUCGAAUGCCCUCAGACUCAUCCAUCUCACCCCUAUGUGCACCACCUCGUGUGUACCCUUUUGGCUUCUUCGGUGGGGGGCUUACGUUUUCACACAAACUUUGUAUGCAGUGUAGAAUGUAUUUUUUAUUUUUGCGAUAACGCAAUCAAUACAACUUUCAACAACGGAUCUCUUGGCUCUC
rnacentral:misc_RNA from 1 species